rnacentral:rRNA from 1 species
UACGGAGGGAGCUAGCGUUGUUCGGAAUUACUGGGCGUAAAGCGCGCGUAGGCGGUUACUCAAGUCAGAGGUGAAAGCCCGGGGCUCAACCCCGGAACUGCCUUUGAAACUAGGUAACUAGAAUCUUGGAGAGGUCAGUGGAAUUCCGAGUGUAGGGGUGAAAUUCGUAGAUAUUCGGAAGAACACCAGUGGCGAAGGCGACUGACUGGACAAGUAUUGACGCUGAGGUGCGAAAGCGUGGGGAGCAAACAGG